UACAGAGGGGGCGAGCGUUGUUCGGAAUUACUGGGCGUAAAGGGCGCGUAGGCGGCCAACUAAGUCAGACGUGAAAUCCCUCGGCUCAACCGGGGAACUGCGUCUGAUACUGGAUGGCUUGAAUUCGGGAGAGGGAUGCGGAAUUCCAGGUGUAGCGGUGAAAUGCGUAGAUAUCUGGAGGAACACCGGUGGCGAAGGCGGCUCUCUGGGACGGUACUGACGCUGAGACGCGAAAGCGUGGGGAGCGAACAGG
rnacentral:rRNA from 1 species